UACGGAGGAUGCGAGCGUUAUCCGGAUUUAUUGGGUUUAAAGGGUGCGUAGGCGGACGCUUAAGUCAGCGGUAAAAUUGCGGGGCUCAACCUCGUCGAGCCGUUGAAACUGGGUGCCUUGAGUGGGCGAGAAGUACGCGGAAUGCGUGGUGUAGCGGUGAAGUGCAUAGAUAUCACGCAGAACUCCGAUUGCGAAGGCAGCGUACCGGCGCCCUACUGACGCUGAAGCACGAAGGCGUGGGUAUCGAACAGG
rnacentral:rRNA from 1 species